rnacentral:rRNA from 1 species
GAUGAACGCUGGCGGCGUGCCUAAUACGUGCAAGUCGAGCGAACAGAUAAGGAGCUUGCUCCUUUGACGUUAGCGGCGGACGGGUGAGUAACACGUGGGUAACCUACCUAUAAGACUGGAAUAACUCCGGGAAACCGGGGCUAAUGCAGGAUAACAUGUUGAACCGCAUGGUUCUACAGUGAAAGGCGGCUUUGCUGUCACUUAUAGAUGGACCCGCGCCGUAUUAGCUAGUUGGUGAGGUAACGGCUCACCAAGGCAACGAUACGUAGCCGACCUGAGAGGGUGAUCGGCCACACUGGAACUGAGACACGGUCCAGACUCCUACGGGAGGCAGCAGUAGGGAAUCUUCCGCAAUGGGCGAAAGCCUGACGGAGCAACGCCGCGUGAGUGAUGAAGGUCUUCGGAUCGUAAAACUCUGUUAUUAGGGAAGAACAAAUGCGUAAGUAACUGUGCGCGUCUUGACGGUACCUAAUCAGAAAGCCACGGCUAACUACGUG